CCUACGGGAGGCAGCAGUGGGGAAUAUUGGACAAUGGGCGAAAGCCUGAUCCAGCAAUGCCGCGUGAGUGAUGAAGGCCUUAGGGUUGUAAAGCUCUUUUACCAGGGAUGAUAAUGACAGUACCUGGAGAAUAAGCUCCGGCUAACUCCGUGCCAGCAGCCGCGGUAAUACGGAGGGAGCUAGCGUUGUUCGGAAUUACUGGGCGUAAAGCGUACGUAGGCGGUUAUUCAAGUCAGAGGUGAAAGCCUGGAGCUCAACUCCAGAACUGCCUUUGAAACUAGAUAGCUAGAAUCUUGGAGAGGUGAGUGGAAUUCCGAGUGUAGAGGUGAAAUUCGUAGAUAUUCGGAAGAACACCAGUGGCGAAGGCGACUCACUGGACAAGUAUUGACGCUGAGGUACGAAAGCGUGGGGAGCAAACAGGAUUAGAUACCCUGGUAGUCCACGCCGUAAACGAUGAUAACUAGCUGUUCGGGCUCUACGAGCUUGAGUGGCGCAGACUACGACAUUAAGUUAUCCGUCCGUCGGGUAGGUACGGUCGCGAGAAUUAAACUAACAAUAGAAGUUAGUACGGCGUGAGACGUACGCCGACGGACGACGACGAGGGAGGUUAGG
rnacentral:rRNA from 1 species